CAACGCCGCGUGAAGGAUGAAGGUUUUCGGAUUGUAAACUUCUUUGAUGAGGGACGAAGAAAGUGACGGUACCUCAAAAACAAGCCACGGCUAACUACGUGCCAGCAGCCGCAGUAAUACGUAGGUGGCGAGCGUUGUCCGGAAUUACUGGGUGUAAAGGGCGUGUAGGCGGGUUAAAAAGUCAGAUGUGAAACCCCUCGGCUUAACUGAGGGACUGCAUCUGAAACUUUUGAUCUUGAGUGCUGGAGAGGAAAGCGGAAUUCCCAGUGUAGCGGUGAAAUGC
rnacentral:rRNA from 1 species